rnacentral:rRNA from 1 species
GACGAACCGUCCAAACGUUAUUCGGAAUUACUGGGCUUAAAGGGUGCGUAGGCGGCGCGGAAAGUUGGGUGUGAAAUCCCUCGGCUCAACCGAGGAACUGCGCCCAAAACUACCGUGCUCGAGGGAGAUAGAGGUGAGCGGAACUUAGGGUGGAGCGGUGAAAUGCGUUGAUAUCCCAAGGAACACCCGUGGCGAAAGCGGCUCACUGGGUCUCUUCUGACGCUGAGGCACGAAAGCUAGGGUAGCGAACGGG